rnacentral:rRNA from 1 species
UACGUAGGGGGCUAGCGUUGUCCGGAUUUAUUGGGCGUAAAGAGCGUGUAGGCGGCCAGGUAGGUCUGCUGUGAAAACUCGGAGGCUCAACCUCGAGAUGUACGGCGGAAACCAUCUGGCUAGAGUCCGGAAGAGGAAAGUGGAAUUCCUGGUGUAGCGGUGAAAUGCGCAGAUAUCAGGAAGAACACCCGUGGCGAAGGCGGCUUUCUGGGACGGUACUGACGCUGAGACGCGAAAGCGUGGGGAGCGAACAGG